GCCAUCGCUCAACGGAUAAAAGGUACUCCGGGGAUAACAGGCUGAUACCGCCCAAGAGUUCAUAUCGACGGCGGUGUUUGGCACCUCGAUGUCGGCUCAUCACAUCCUGGGGCUGAAGUAGGUCCCAAGGGUAUGGCUGUUCGCCAUUUAAAGUGGUACGCGAGCUGGGUUUAGAACGUCGUGAGACAGUUCGGUCCCUAUCUGCCGUGGGCGCUGGAGAACUGAGGGGGGCUGCUCCUAGUACGAGAGGACCGGAGUGGACGCAUCACUGGUGUUCGGGUUGUCAUGCCAAUGGCACUGCCCGGUAGCUAAAUGCGGAAGAGAUAAGUGCUGAAAGCAUCUAAGCACGAAACUUGCCCCGAGAUGA
rnacentral:rRNA from 1 species